UACGUAGGGGGCAAGCGUUGUCCGGAUUUAUUGGGCGUAAAGAGCUCGUAGGCGGUUUGUCGCGUCGGAUGUGAAAACCCAGGGCCUCAACCCUGGGCCUGCAUUCGAUACGGGCAAACUAGAGUAUGGCAGGGGAGACUGGAAUUCCUGGUGUAGCGGUGAAAUGCGCAGAUAUCAGGAGGAACGACCGGUGGCGAAGGCGGGUCUCUGGGCCAAAACUGACGCUGGAGGAGCGAAAGCGUCGGGGAGCGAACAGG
rnacentral:rRNA from 1 species